GGGGAUGUAGCUCACAUGGUAGUAGAGCGCUCGCUUAGCAUGCGAGAAGUAUGGGGAUCGAUACCCUGCAUCCCCA
rnacentral:tRNA from 1 species